GACGAACGCUGGCGGCGUGCUUAACACAUGCAAGUCGAGCGGUAAGGCCCUUUCGGGGGUACGACGAGCGGCGAACGGGUGAGUAACACGUGGGUGGACCUCGCCCUCCAGCUCUGGGAGUAAGCCUGGGAAACCGGGGUACUAAUACCGGAUAUGACUCCAUGACGCAUGUUGUGGGGUGGAAAGCCUUGUGCGGCUGAGGA
rnacentral:rRNA from 1 species